rnacentral:rRNA from 1 species
CGCUGGCGGCGUGCCUAAUACAUGCAAGUCGAACGCACUCUCGUUUAGAUUGAAGGAGCUUGCUCCUGAUUGAUAACAUUUGAGUGAGUGGCGGACGGGUGAGUAACGACGUGGGUAACCUGCCCUAAAGUGGGGGAUAACAUUUGGAAACAGAUGCUAAUACCGCAUAAAACCUAACACCGCAUGGUGUAGGGUUGAAAGAUGGUUUCGGCUAUCACUUUAGGAUGGACCCGCGGUGCAUUAGUUAGUUGGUGAGGUAAAGGCUCACCAAGACCGUGAUGCAUAGCCGACCUGAGAGGGUAAUCGGCCACACUGGGACUGAGACACGGCCCAGACUCCUACGGGAGGCAGCAGUAGGGAAUCUUCCACAAUGGACGAAAGUCUGAUGGAGCAACGCCGCGUGAGUGAAGAAGGUUUUCGGAUCGUAAAACUCUGUUGUUGGAGAAGAAUGUAUCUGAUAGUAACUGAUCAGGUAGUGACGGUAUCCAACCAGAAAGCCACGGCUAACUACGUG